CCCUCUGACAUCAAUGGUGGAGAAAACCUCAAUAGUCUCAAUACAGUCAACAGAAAGAGGUACACCUGCACAAGAACGUGUGAAAACACCGACAAGGCAGUGGCAAAGAAAACUUCAAACAGAUGAGGCAUGCCAGUGAUGACACAUAACCACUGCAUGUGUUUUGCAUUCAUCCUGAUCGUGGAUUGACAGGCACACAGCCGGAAGAGACC